rnacentral:pre_miRNA from 1 species
GUAGUACUCCCUCCUUUCGGAAUUACUCGUCCAAGAAAUGAAUGUAUCUAGAUGUAUUUUAGUUGUAGAUACAUUCAUUUUUGUGACAAGUAAUUCCGAACGGAGGGAGUAACUU